CAAAUACUCCUUCCGUCCGGAAAUACUUGUCAUCAAAAUGGAUAAAAGGAAAUGGAUAAAAGGAAAUCACUAAAAAUACAAAUAUCUUUUUAUCCAUUUUGAUGACAAGUAUUUUCGGACGGAGGGAGUAGAAA
rfam:Triticum urartu cultivar G1812 contig225287, whole genome shotgun sequence.